rnacentral:lncRNA from 1 species
GGAAAAUCAAACUUAGCUGGUGAAUUUUAGGGCAAAUUUUAUCAAGUAUUUCAUUUGUGCAUUUCUUUUCUAAACGCUACUCUGCUCUCACUCAGGAAACAUCUUAACCCUAUUUUUCAAGCAUUUCAUCUUCCAGUUAUUUCUGUGUAGAUUCAAUCAUUGAAUCAAUCUAUGUAGAUUCGAUCUCUCUGAAAUUCCUUAUUUGUUCAUCUCAAUUAUCAUAUCAAAACUUCACAAAUCGAUUAUAUAACUUUUAGUUUACACUUGAUUUCGUUAUCCAUCGAUUGGUGUAUAGUUCAUCUAUCUCAGACCUGAAUUUGGGGAUUUGAAGAAGGAAAAGCAAGCAAGCACAUCUGAUUUCGAUUUUUUAGAGGUUUUGAAAGAAGUACACCUGAUCAGCAAUCUCUCAUAUUGCCAUAGAUACAGAUGAGACGGCUUCGAGCAAAUCUUGGCGUUAUUUCAAGAGCAGAUGGUGUAAAAUUGCGGGAACGACAAAUAUGACAGGGGCGGGAGAAAGGAUUGAUUAGCAUUUACAUAGUUGAACAUGCUGCGUUGCUGACUUAAAGUGCUAAGCAUUCCAGAAGUUUUACACUCUAUACACCAGUCGUCAACAUUACUUGCUCAAAGAACAACACUCGCAGUAUGACUCCUUUUAUGUAAGUUGAAAAGUUUUAUAAAAAAGUGGAAGAACAAGAUAACAAUGCGAGAUUUUAUGAACCAGUGUAUCGGCUAGAAGCAACCGAAUGAGAUAAUAACGAAAACAACAAUCAGUGAGUUACCUCAAGUGGAAAUCGGUGAGAGUUCAAAGCGUACUGCCGUCUAUAAUCACGCGUCGUGCCACCAGACUUCUUCGCAGCAAACAAGCAGGUUAACGAAGAGUGAAGGGGAGGUGAGAAGGAACUGUGUGUGAGGGUUUUUGUGAGAACGUGGCAGAGUGGGGGAUUUACGGAUUGAUUUAGAGUGAUGAGCGAAAUUCAAAGCUUGAUUUGGUUCGUUUGACUUUAGAUUGAAAAUUAUGCGUUUUAAUUUUAUAUAUAUUUAGUCACCUAUAUCUUUCCUAUAAUUCUUUGUUUCCUCAUAUACAAGAUCCUUUGAUGUCGUUUUAAAUGGAUCGGAUAUUGUAUUUUGAAAAAAACUAGUGGGGGUGACUUAAGCUGAUGUAAAAUCGUGUUUGUGAGUUGUACCAACUGCAUUGAAAGAUGUACUUUUUAUUUUAAUGUUUUUGCUAU